rnacentral:tRNA from 1 species
GUUCGCUUUGGUCAGAACACUAGCCUUGUAAGCCAGGGGUCCCGGGUUCGAUUCCCGG